UUGGCAGCAAACAAACUAAAAUGAAAAUGAAACGGGGAAGGUUAGCGUGGCCCCUGGGCACGGAUGGCAUGCAAAUUCAUGAAGUGGUUGUUGAUCUU
rnacentral:snRNA from 1 species